rnacentral:snRNA from 1 species
AUGCUCACUUCAGCAGCACAUAUACUAAAAUUGGAACGAUACAGAGAUUAGCAUGGCGCCUGCGCAAGGAUGACACACAAAUUUGUAAAGUGUUCCAUACAUUU